rnacentral:rRNA from 1 species
AACGAACGCUGGCGGCAUGCCUAACACAUGCAAGUCGAACGAAGGCGUCCGGCUUAGGGGCGCACGUGUGGGGAACACGGGGGAAGUUGCACUUUGCUUACGUAUAACAGAUAUAAAUGAAUGCUAAUAAAGCAUGGUGUCGUAAGAGAAAAGAUGUAUCGGCAAAGGAUGGGGGCGCGUAGGAUUGGGCAGUUGGUGGGGUAAAGGCCUACCAAGGCGACGAUCCUUAGCUGGUCGGAGAGGAUGACCAGGCACGAUGGAACUGAGGCACGGCCCAGACUCCGACGGGAGGCAGCAGUAGGGAGUAUUGUGCGAUGAGCGCAAGUCUAGCACAGCAGUGCCGCGUAUGUGAUGAAGGCCUUAGUGUUGUAAAGCUCUUUUAGCCGAGAUGAGAAUGACGGUACCGGGUGAAGAAGCACCGGCUAACUCCGUG